rnacentral:rRNA from 1 species
AUUGAACGCUGGCGGCAGGCCUAACACAUGCAAGUCGAGCGGAUGCAGGGAGCUUGCUCCUGGAUUCAGCGGCGGACGGGUGUGUAAUGCCUAGGAAUCUGCCUGGUAGUGGGGGAUAACGUCCGGAAACGGGCGCUAAUACCGCAUACGUCCUGAGGGAGAAAGUGGGGGAUCUUCGGACCUCCCGCUAUCAGAUGAGCCUAGGUCGGAUUAGCUAGUUGGUGGGGUAAAGGCCUACCAAGGCGACGAUCCGUAACUGGUCUGAGAGGACGAUCAGUCACACUGGAACUGAGACACGGUCCAGACUCCUACGGGAGGCAGCAGUGGGGAAUAUUGGACAAUGGGCGAAAGCCUGAUCCAGCCAUGCCGCGUGUGGGAAGAAGGUCUUCGGAUUGUAAAGUGCUUUAAGUUGGGAGGAAGGGCAGUAAGUUAAUACCUGGCUGUUAUGACGUUACCAACAGAAUAAGCACCGGCUAACUUCGUG